UACAGAGGGUGCGAGCGUUAAUCGGAAUUACUGGGCGUAAAGCGCGCGUAGUCGGCUUUGCAAGUCGGGUGUGAAAUCCCCAGGCUUAACCUGGGAACUGCAUUCGAGACGGCAUCGCUAGAGUAUGGGAGAGGGAAGUGGAAUUUCCGGUGUAGCGGUGAAAUGCGUAGAUAUCGGAAGGAACAUCAGUGGCGAAAGCGACUUCCUGGGCCAAUACUGACGCUCAUGUGCGAAAGCGUGGGGAGCAAACAGG
rnacentral:rRNA from 1 species